rnacentral:tRNA from 1 species
AGUCUUAUAUUCAAUUAUGAUUUUAAAUUGCAAAUUUAAAGGUAAAAUGUUCAUUUUUAAGGCUU